rnacentral:rRNA from 1 species
CAGUAGCCACGGGAAUACAGAGGGUGCGAGCGUUAAUCGGAUUUACUGGGCGUAAAGCGUGCGUAGGCGGCUUUUUAAGUCGGAUGUGAAAUCCCUGAGCUUAACUUAGGAAUUGCAUUCGAUACUGGGAAGCUAGAGUAUGGGAGAGGAUGGUAGAAUUCCAGGUGUAGCGGUGAAAUGCGUAGAGAUCUGGAGGAAUACCGAUGGCGAAGGCAGCCAUCUGGCCUAAUACUGACGCUGAGGUACGAAAGCAUGGGGAGCAAACAGGAUUAGAUACCGCGUAGUCCCUGUCUCUUAUACA